rnacentral:rRNA from 2 species
UUAAGUUAUUAAGGGCGCACGGUGGAUGCCUUGGCACUAGAAGCCGAUGAAGGACGUUACUAACGACGAUAUGCUUUGGGGAGCUGUAAGUAAGCUUUGAUCCAGAGAUUUCCGAAUGGGGAAACCCAGCAUGAGUUAUGUCAUGUUAUCGAUAUGUGAAUACAUAGCAUAUCAGAAGGCACACCCGGAGAACUGAAACAUCUUAGUACCCGGAGGAAGAGAAAGAAAAUUCGAUUCCCUUAGUAGCGGCGAGCGAAAUGGGAAGAGCCCAAACCAACAAGCUUGCUUGUUGGGGUUGUAGGACACUCUAUACGGAGUUACAAAGGACGACAUUAGACGAAUCAUCUGGAAAGAUGAAUCAAAGAAGGUAAUAAUCCUGUAGUCGAAAAUGUUGUCUCUCUUGAGUGGAUCCUGAGUACGACGGAGCACGUGAAAUUCCGUCGGAAUCUGGGAGGACCAUCUCCUAAGGCUAAAUACUCUCUAGUGACCGAUAGUGAACCAGUACCGUGAGGGAAAGGUGAAAAGCACCCCGGAAGGGGAGUGAAAUAGAACCUGAAACCGUGUGCUUACAAGUAGUCAGAGCCCGUUAAUGGGUGAUGGCGUGCCUUUUGUAGAAUGAACCGGCGAGUUACGAUUUGAUGCAAGGUUAAGCAGUAAAUGUGGAGCCGUAGCGAAAGCGAGUCUGAAUAGGGCGUUUAGUAUUUGGUCGUAGACCCGAAACCAGGUGAUCUACCCUUGGUCAGGUUGAAGUUCAGGUAACACUGAAUGGAGGACCGAACCGACUUACGUUGAAAAGUGAGCGGAUGAACUGAGGGUAGCGGAGAAAUUCCAAUCGAACCUGGAGAUAGCUGGUUCUCUCCGAAAUAGCUUUAGGGCUAGCCUCAAGUGAUGAUUAUUGGAGGUAGAGCACUGUUUGGACGAGGGGCCCCUCUCGGGUUACCGAAUUCAGACAAACUCCGAAUGCCAAUUAAUUUAACUUGGGAGUCAGAACAUGGGUGAUAAGGUCCGUGUUCGAAAGGGAAACAGCCCAGACCACCAGCUAAGGUCCCAAAAUAUAUGUUAAGUGGAAAAGGAUGUGGCGUUGCCCAGACAACUAGGAUGUUGGCUUAGAAGCAGCCAUCAUUUAAAGAGUGCGUAAUAGCUCACUAGUCGAGUGACACUGCGCCGAAAAUGUACCGGGGCUAAACAUAUUACCGAAGCUGUGGAUUGUCCUUUGGACAAUGGUAGGAGAGCGUUCUAAGGGCGUUGAAGCAUGAUCGUAAGGACAUGUGGAGCGCUUAGAAGUGAGAAUGCCGGUGUGAGUCGCGAAAGACGGGUGAGAAUCCCGUCCACCGAUUGACUAAGGUUUCCAGAGGAAGGCUCGUCCGCUCUGGGUUAGUCGGGUCCUAAGCUGAGGCCGACAGGCGUAGGCGAUGGAUAACAGGUUGAUAUUCCUGUACCACCUAUAAUCGUUUUAAUCGAUGGGGGGACGCAGUAGGAUAGGCGAAGCGUGCGAUUGGAUUGCACGUCUAAGCAGUAAGGCUGAGUAUUAGGCAAAUCCGGUACUCGUUAAGGCUGAGCUGUGAUGGGGAGAAGACAUUGAGUCUUCGAGUCGUUGAUUUCACACUGCCGAGAAAAGCCUCUAGAUAGAAAAUAGGUGCCCGUACCGCAAACCGACACAGGUAGUCAAGAUGAGAAUUCUAAGGUGAGCGAGCGAACUCUCGUUAAGGAACUCGGCAAAAUGACCCCGUAACUUCGGGAGAAGGGGUGCUCUUUAGGGUUAACGCCCAGAAGAGCCGCAGUGAAUAGGCCCAAGCGACUGUUUAUCAAAAACACAGGUCUCUGCUAAACCGUAAGGUGAUGUAUAGGGGCUGACGCCUGCCCGGUGCUGGAAGGUUAAGAGGAGUGGUUAGCUUCUGCGAAGCUACGAAUCGAAGCCCCAGUAAACGGCGGCCGUAACUAUAACGGUCCUAAGGUAGCGAAAUUCCUUGUCGGGUAAGUUCCGACCCGCACGAAAGGCGUAACGAUUUGGGCACUGUCUCAACGAGAGACUCGGUGAAAUCAUAGUACCUGUGAAGAUGCAGGUUACCCGCGACAGGACGGAAAGACCCCGUGGAGCUUUACUGUAGCCUGAUAUUGAAAUUCGGCACAGCUUGUACAGGAUAGGUAGGAGCCUUUGAAACGUGAGCGCUAGCUUACGUGGAGGCGCUGGUGGGAUACUACCCUAGCUGUGUUGGCUUUCUAACCCGCACCACUUAUCGUGGUGGGAGACAGUGUCAGGCGGGCAGUUUGACUGGGGCGGUCGCCUCCUAAAAGGUAACGGAGGCGCUCAAAGGUUCCCUCAGAAUGGUUGGAAAUCAUUCAUAGAGUGUAAAGGCAUAAGGGAGCUUGACUGCGAGACCUACAAGUCGAGCAGGGUCGAAAGACGGACUUAGUGAUCCGGUGGUUCCGCAUGGAAGGGCCAUCGCUCAACGGAUAAAAGCUACCCCGGGGAUAACAGGCUUAUCUCCCCCAAGAGUUCACAUCGACGGGGAGGUUUGGCACCUCGAUGUCGGCUCAUCGCAUCCUGGGGCUGUAGUCGGUCCCAAGGGUUGGGCUGUUCGCCCAUUAAAGCGGUACGCGAGCUGGGUUCAGAACGUCGUGAGACAGUUCGGUCCCUAUCCGUCGUGGGCGUAGGAAAUUUGAGAGGAGCUGUCCUUAGUACGAGAGGACCGGGAUGGACAUACCUCUGGUGUACCAGUUGUCGUGCCAACGGCAUAGCUGGGUAGCUAUGUGUGGACGGGAUAAGUGCUGAAAGCAUCUAAGCAUGAAGCCCCCCUCAAGAUGAGAUUUCCCAACUUCGGUUAUAAGAUCCCUCAAAGAUGAUGAGGUUAAUAGGUUCGAGGUGGAAGCAUGGUGACAUGUGGAGCUGACGAAUACUAAUCGAUCGAAGACUUAAU